UACGGGGGGGGCAAGCGUUGUUCGGAAUUACUGGGCGUAAAGGGCUCGUAGGCGGCCAACUAAGUCGGAUGUGAAAUCCCCAGGCUCAACCUGGGAACUGCAUCCGAUACUGGAUGGCUUGAAUCCGGGAGAGGGAUGCAGAAUUCCAGGUGUAGCGGUGAAAUGCGUAGAUAUCUGGAGGAAUACCGAUGGCGAAGGCAGAUCUCUGGGCCGUAACUGACGCUGAGGAGCGAAAGCAUGGGGAGCGAACAGG
rnacentral:rRNA from 1 species